GAUGAACGCUGGCGGCGUGCUUUACACAUGCAAGUCGAACGGUAACAGGCCGCAAGGUGCUGACGAGUGGCGAACGGGUGAGUAAUGCAUCGGAACGUGCCCAGUCGUGGGGGAUAACGCAGCGAAAGCUGUGCUAAUACCGCAUACGAUCUAUGGAUGAAAGCGGGGGACCGUAAGGCCUCGCGCGAUUGGAGCGGCCGAUGUCAGAUUAGGUAGUUGGUGGGGUAAAGGCCUACCAAGCCAACGAUCUGUAGCUGGUCUGAGAGGACGACCAGCCACACUGGGACUGAGACACGGCCCAGACUCCUACGGGAGGCAGCAGUGGGGAAUUUUGGACAAUGGGCGCAAGCCUGAUCCAGCAAUGCCGCGUGCAGGAAGAAGGCCUUCGGGUUGUAAACUGCUUUUGUACGGAACGAAACGGUCUGGGUUAAUACCCUGGACUAAUGACGGUACCGUAAGAAUAAGCACCGGCUAACUACGUGCCAGCAGCCGCCGUAAAAC
rnacentral:rRNA from 1 species